rnacentral:rRNA from 1 species
GCACAAGCGGUGAGCAUGUGGUUCAAUUCGAAGCAACGCGCAGAACCUUACCAGCCUUUGACAUGCCGGUCGCGGGUACCAGAGAUGGAACCCUUCAGUUCGGCUGGACCGGACACAGGUGCUGCAUGGCUGUCGUCAGCUCGUGUCGUGAGAUGUUGGGUUAAGUCCCGCAACGAGCGCAACCCUCGCCCUUAGUUGCCAUCAUUUAGUUGGGCACUCUAAGGGGACUGCCGGUGAUAAGCCGGAGGAAGGUGGGGAUGACGUCAAGUCCUCAUGGCCCUUACGGGCUGGGCUACACACGUGCUACAAUGGCGGUGACAGAGGGAUGCAAAGGGGCAACCCUUCGCAAAUCUCAAAAAGCCGUCUCAGUUCGGAUUGGGGUCUGCAACUCGACCCCAUGAAGUUGGAAUCGCUAGUAAUCGCAGAUCAGCACGCUGCGGUGAAUACGUUCCCGGGC